rnacentral:rRNA from 1 species
UAAUGAGAGUUUGAUCCUGGCUCAGGACGAACGCUGGCGGCGUGCUUAACACAUGCAAGUCGAACGGAAAGGCCCUGCUUUUGUGGGGUGCUCGAGUGGCGAACGGGUGAGUAACACGUGAGUAACCUGCCCUUGACUUUGGGAUAACUUCAGGAAACUGGGGCUAAUACCGGAUAGGAGCUCCUGCUGCAUGGUGGGGGUUGGAAAGUUUCGGCGGUUGGGGAUGGACUCGCGGCUUAUCAGCUUGUUGGUGGGGUAGUGGCUUACCAAGGCUUUGACGGGUAGCCGGCCUGAGAGGGUGACCGGCCACAUUGGGACUGAGAUACGGCCCAGACUCCUACGGGAGGCAGCAGUGGGGAAUAUUGCACAAUGGGCGCAAGCCUGAUGCAGCGACGCCGCGUGAGGGAUGACGGCCUUCGGGUUGUAAACCUCUUUCAGUAGGGAAGAA